GAUGAAGAACGUAGUGAAAUGCGAUAAGUAAUGUGAAUUGCAGAAUUCAGUGAAUCAUCGAAUCUUUGAACGCACAUUGCGCCCGCCAGUAUUCUGGCGGGCAUGCCUGUUCGAGCGUCAUUUCAACCAUCAAGCCCCCGGCUUGUGUUGGGGACCUGCGGCUGCCGCAGGCCCUGAAAACCAGUGGCGGGCUCGCUAGUCACUCCGAGCGUAGUAAUACAUCUCGCUCAGGGCGUGCUGCGGGUUCCGGCCGUUAAAAAGCCUUAUUUACCCAAGGUUGACCUCGGAUCAGGUAGGAAAACCCGCUGAACUUAAGCAUAUCAAUAAGCGGAGGA
rnacentral:misc_RNA from 1 species